UAAUCUAACAAACUCAAAGGAGAAUAAGUGCUCAAGCCAAUUUUGGCUAAAAACUCCUAAAAUGAUAGAUGAAAACAUUAGCGUCCUGAUGAAGAUAAAAUUCUGAAUAAGAGAAAGCCAAAGAGAAGAGAAGAGAAUUUUUCUUUUUAAGGUUGUAUCAGUUGUCUGUGAUUCAACUGCCCUUCUUUCUUCACUGUCAAAUUCACAACGGUUCUUUUAUUACCAACACUUCUGAUAAGAAAAAGGAAAAGAGAUGUUUCCCCUUGAGGUUGCAAAGGAUCAAAUCGAGUUCCUUGAAAGGGAGUUGAGAUUCCUGGAUAUUUUCCUCAAUUUACAGAGCUCCAAAGCUGAAUGUGACACUUUGGAUGUCACACAAAAAGCACAAACUCUACUUCACGAUACUCGAGUUGAUCUCUCCACUCUUAAUUUGACUUCUCCAAAUUUUUAUCCGUCCAUCUAUCAGAUGGAAGGCGACAUUCGUUUGAUCAAGUCGGAAAUCAGAGCCAAUUACUCCUUUCCGAAAACAUCAUUGCCCCUUUCAGCCAGCAAGAAUGGUGUUGCUAUUUCCGAAAUUGUACCUGAAUUUAUGGGCACUGUUGUGUGUAUUCUCAGUGAUUUACUGAAUAUUUAUGAUGGCCGUUCUGUACUUUUUGUUCCAGGACCCAAGGAACAAAUAGUAGAAGUUUUAGAAGAGUUGAAGUCUCUGAGAGCUUUUGUCUGCUUUGUUGCAAAGAGAUGCAAAGAGCCUCAGAGUUGCCAUCAUGAUUUCUUCACUCAUAUUUUUGUUGUGGCUGGCCAUGCAGCCAUGCUUGUCUGGUUGAGUUUACCAGGCACUGACAAUGGAACUCAAGACUUGGCUUCUGGUGAAAUGAAUGCUUUGCUUUCUGAUCACCUGCGAAUGAGGAUUAAGCCUAUUGAGCCAAGUAUCCGCAAGAUCUACGUUGAUGUUCUGCAAGCUUUAAAGUCAACAUCACAAUCAGGAUGGCGUCCCGAUAUCCAAAAUGAGAAUACAACAAACAGUGAAACUGCCUUUUUGGAGACUGUCCUGCACAACUUGGUGGAGCUACCAGCAAUUGGUAACACUACAGUUGCUUUGAAAGAUGAAACAGCAAACCUUCAGGAGAUGCUCAACCUCUUGCGAGCCAAUCUCCCCUAUACGCCGAUGCAACAUCUUGAAUCUCAUUUUGAAGAUCUCCACAUUAUGAUUAUUGAUGCUGGAAUUCUAGUUUACUCGUUAUAUGAUGUUGCAUCGGCCAAAGUGAACCAAGCACUGCUUGAUUUUCCCGGAAAUAUUCAGCAUUUCAACACUGUGAUUUAUCCCAUAGUUCAGAAGGUAUUCCAAUCUAAUUUGCCACGGAUUCACGGAAUAGGCUAUGUUGAUUUCCUUUUAAGCAACCUGAAUGAGUUUCAAGGUCGUUAUUCAAAGUCACUUGUUUCUAUCAAGAACCAACUUCAAAUAAUUCAGAAGGAACUUGAGAGCGUGCAACCGUUUCUCAAGGAUGUUGCAAAAGAGCGACAUAAGCACCACGAAAUUCAACAUUUGGCUCAGUUAGUGAUUGGCACAGCAUAUGAAGUGGAAUAUAUAGUCGAUUCUUUUAUCAGCAAAGAAGUUCCCGAGUGGUGUCUUGAGCGUUGGCUCGUUGAUAUCAUAGAUGAAAUUAAACUUAACAGAUCAAAAAUAGAUGUUCAAUUGAAGAAAACACCUGCCGUUGACAUAGCAUUACAUGAUCCCGUGGAUGCAGACGCUGCUCAUACAUCAUCAGAAUCUACGUCCCUAAAGAAUGAAGAAAUCGUGGGCUUUGAUCAUAUCGUUCCAGAAUUAAGAAAGAAGCUAACUAAAGGAUCCCAACAGCUAGACGUCAUCUCGAUUGUCGGCAUGGGCGGACAAGGUAAGACGACAUUGGCCAACAAACUCUUUAAUGAUGACUCAGUUAAAUCUCGAUUUGAUAUUCGGGCGCAAUGUUGCGUGUCGCAAGAGUAUUCAUGUAGGUCCAUUUUAUUGGCCAUUUUACGUGAUCUUUCUUGUGAUGACCCUGCUGCUAGUGAAUUGUCUACUGAAGAUCUACGAGAUAAGCUUCAAAAAAUUUGUAAAGUGAAAAGAUAUCUUAUCCUUAUCGAUGACAUAUGGGAAGCUAGUGUGUGGGAAGAUUUACAGCCUUGCUUUGCGGAUGUUAAUAACGGAAGUCGAAUUAUUCUAACAACACGACAAGUUGAAGUUGCCAACUCAGCUAGAAUUUCUUGUGAGCCCUUUCAUCUUCCUAUGUUUAAGGAAGACGAAAGUUGGAAAUUGCUGAAAGAGAAAGUGUUUGGUAACGAAGGAUGCUCUCCUGAUCUUGAAAAGGUUGGGCUAGAAAUAGCAAAGAAGUGCGCAGGGCUGCCUCUUUCAAUUGUUUUGGUGGCUGGUAUUCUCGCAAAGGAAAAGAAUGAACAAUGUUGGAGACAAGUCGCUAAGAAUUUAGGUUCCCACAUUCAAAGUGACGCAAAGGCUAUGAUAGAGCACAGUUAUAAACAUUUACCCCAUCAUUUAAAGCCUUGCUUCCUUUAUUUUGGAGCAUUUUCAGAAGACAGGACGAUCAAUGUUUCAGACUUGACAUGCUUAUGGAUGGCAGAAGGAUUCAUAAAAAUUGAUAAAGAUAAGAGUUUGGAGGAUGUAGCAUCAGAUUACUUGGAGAAUCUUAUUGGACGAAAUCUAGUGAAAAUUGCAAAAAGGAGUUCUGAUGGCAAGGUCAAAGCAUGCCAGAUCCAUGAUCUAUUGCUUGAUUUCUGCAAGGAAACAGCUGAGCAGGAAAAGCUUCUACUCUGCAUAGAUAGGUACCAAAGUGCCAAUCCUUCACCUGGCAUUUACUCACACCGGCAGCUAGCUCAAGGUCGCCUGUCCAUUUAUGCUGACAAGAAUGAUCUUGCAAAAUGGAGUUCGUCUUGCUCACUUGUUGGGUCUGUACUUUGCAGGGAUGAUAUCAUAGAAUACCUCUCUCCAACCUCGCGCAUCUUUCAGAAAUUCAAGUUUCUAAAAGUGUUGGAUCUGAAGUUCAUCGUUGUUGAUUCUUUCCCAACAGAGCUGGUUUACUUGAGGUAUUUUGCAGUACGAACUGCGAAGAAGUCAAUUACAUCAUGCAUAAGCAAUCUAUGGAACCUUGGGACUUUGAUAGUCAAAGGGGAAGGGACAUACUUGUCACUACCGUUUACACUCUGGAAGAUGUCUAAAUUGAGAAUUCUGCAUAUUUGUGACAAUGCUUAUUUCACCAUUAAUGGUGCAGAAGAAUCACUUGAGAACUCCUCCAAUCUUGACAAUUUGGAGACUCUUUCCUGUCCAUGUUUUUCUUGUGCGGAGGAUGCAGAAUUUGUAUUGAGAAAGACACCAAAUAUUCGGAAUCUGAGAUGCUCAAUUAAGUAUCCUGAAGUAAACUUUUGGGUCCUUCAAUUGGAAUUUCUAGCACAGCUUAAGACGCUCAAGGUUCAUUUUGACGUGCAUUCAGCCAUAGCUGGUGCUUACAUCUUCCCCUCAAAUCUCAACAAAUUGACUUUGUCCACCAUUUUCUGGGGCACUGGUUCAGAGAUUGCUAUGCUUCCCAAUCUUCAGGUACUUAAACUGGUAAAUGUUGAGUUUGAUAAAGGCGAAUGGACAGUGAACGACAAUGAGUUCCCUAAACUCAAAGUGUUGAAAGUAGUAAACUCUGAUAAUUUUAACGAGUGGAAUGUCUCGGAUGAUGCCUUUCCUUGUCUUGAACAUUUGACAUUGCAUAAAUGCAAAUAUCUUAAGGAGAUCCCCUCUUGGUUCGCGGAAAUCGCUUCUCUCAAGUUUGUUAGGGUAACGUCUUGCAAUGAAGCUCUUGUUGCUUCAGUCGAGGAGAUCAGGACAAUGCAAGUUGAAGAUUACCAAAGAUCUGAAUUCCAGAUCUUCGUUGACAAGUAGAAUAUGUAUUGCUUAUGAGCUCUCCAUCGACAUCCCUGCUUGCCGACGGAGGGCAAUUUGAUAUUUGCAGUGCUCAUAUAUUAGGGAGAGGAGGGUUUCUAUCUAAACCAGGACAGAAAGGGGAUUGUGAAUGUGAAAAUCACUAUGGAUGACAUACAGGAAGAGGUUGAGUACUAGAAUACAAUGGUGAUAUGCUAUGUCUUCGGAUUUAACCCUCCGUAAAUUGUUACGGAGGAUACUCCCGACGUAUAUGGGGAGCAUUAGGAUUGAUAAAAUUGCCCAAAUUAACAAGGGGUUUUCAUUGUUAGAUUUCAUAAAGCUGAAAAUCGCACACAGGUUGUGAAGGAAGGGAUGAGAAUGUUUGAUAGAAAAAAGACAAGAUGAAUGGAAGCAUCACGAUUAAUGAUUGCAGAAGGAAUGUUAUAGAGAAACGAAAUAAAUCACAAAAGCAGGCCAAUAGA